GGGCCUGUAGUCUAGCUUGGAUAGGACAGAGGCCUCCGGAGCCUCUGACCUGGGUUCGAAUCCCAGCAGGCCCG
rfam:Euryarchaeota archaeon 13_1_20CM_4_64_14 13_1_20cm_4_scaffold_200, whole genome shotgun sequence.